CCUGGCUCAGAUUGAACGCUGGCGGCAGGCCUAACACAUGCAAGUCGAACGGUAACAGGAANCAGCUUGCUNNUUNGCUGACGAGUGGCGGACGGGUGAGUAAUGUCUGGGAAACUGCCUGAUGGAGGGGGAUAACUACUGGAAACGGUAGCUAAUACCGCAUAACGUCGCAAGACCAAAGAGGGGGACCUUCGGGCCUCUUGCCAUCGGAUGUGCCCAGAUGGGAUUAGCUNGUNGGUGGGGUAACGGCUCACCNAGGCGACGAUCCCUAGCUGGUCUGAGAGGAUGACCAGCCACACUGGAACUGAGACACGGUCCAGACUCCUACGGGAGGCAGCAGUGGGGAAUAUUGCACAAUGGGCGCAAGCCUGAUGCAGCCAUGCCGCGUGUAUGAAGAAGGCCUUCGGGUUGUAAAGUACUUUCAGCGGGGAGGAAGGGAGUAAAGUUAAUACCUUUGCUCAUUGACGUUACCCGCAGAAGAAGCACCGGCUAACUCCGUGCCAGCAG
rnacentral:rRNA from 1 species